rnacentral:rRNA from 1 species
UUGGAGAGUUUGAUCCUGGCUCAGGACGAACGCUGGCGGCGUGCUUAACACAUGCAAGUCGAACGGAAAGGCCCUUCGGGGUACUCGAGUGGCGAACGGGUGAGUAACACGUGGGCAAUCUGCCCUGCACACCGGGAUAAGCCUGGGAAACUGGGUCUAAUACCGGAUAGGACCACUUGGCGCAUGCCUUGUGGUGGAAAGCUUUUGCGGUGUGGGAUGGGCCCGCGGCCUAUCAGCUUGUUGGUGGGGUGACGGCCUACCAAGGCGACGACGGGUAGCCGGCCUGAGAGGGUGUCCGGCCACACUGGGACUGAGAUACGGCCCAGACUCCUACGGGAGGCAGCAGUGGGGAAUAUUGCACAAUGGGCGCAAGCCUGAUGCAGCGACGCCGCGUGGGGGAUGACGGCCUUCGGGUUGUAAACCUCUUUCACCAUCGACGAAGGUCCGGGUUUUCUCGGAUUGACGGUAGGUGGAGAAGAAGCACCGGCCAACUACGUGCCAGCAGCCGCGGUAAUACGUAGGGUGCGAGCGUUGUCCGGAAUUACUGGGCGUAAAGAGCUCGUAGGUGGUUUGUCGCGUUGUUCGUGAAAUCUCACGGCUUAACUGUGAGCGUGCGGGCGAUACGGGCAGACUAGAGUACUGCAGGGGAGACUGGAAUUCCUGGUGUAGCGGUGGAAUGCGCAGAUAUCAGGAGGAACACCGGUGGCGAAGGCGGGUCUCUGGGCAGUAACUGACGCUGAGGAGCGAAAGCGUGGGGAGCGAACAGGAUUAGAUACCCUGGUAGUCCACGCCGUAAACGGUGGGUACUAGGUGUGGGUUUCCUUCCUUGGGAUCCGUGCCGUAGCUAACGCAUUAAGUACCCCGCCUGGGGAGUACGGCCGCAAGGCUAAAACUCAAAGGAAUUGACGGGGGCCCGCACAAGCGGCGGAGCAUGUGGAUUAAUUCGAUGCAACGCGAAGAACCUUACCUGGGUUUGACAUGCACAGGACGCGUCUAGAGAUAGGCGUUCCCUUGUGGCCUGUGUGCAGGUGGUGCAUGGCUGUCGUCAGCUCGUGUCGUGAGAUGUUGGGUUAAGUCCCGCAACGAGCGCAACCCUUGUCUCAUGUUGCCAGCGGGUAAUGCCGGGGACUCGUGAGAGACUGCCGGGGUCAACUCGGAGGAAGGUGGGGAUGACGUCAAGUCAUCAUGCCCCUUAUGUCCAGGGCUUCACACAUGCUACAAUGGCCGGUACAAAGGGCUGCGAUGCCGCGAGGUUAAGCGAAUCCUUUUAAAGCCGGUCUCAGUUCGGAUCGGGGUCUGCAACUCGACCCCGUGAAGUCGGAGUCGCUAGUAAUCGCAGAUCAGCAACGCUGCGGUGAAUACGUUCCCGGGCCUUGUACACACCGCCCGUCACGUCAUGAAAGUCGGUAACACCCGAAGCCAGUGGCCUAACCCUCGGGAGGGAGCUGUCGAAGGUGGGAUCGGCGAUUGGGACGAAGUCGUAACAAGGUAGCCGUACCGGAAGGUGCGGCUGGAUCACCUCCUU